rnacentral:tRNA from 1 species
GGGGUUGAGACUCAGAGGUAGAGUGCUUGCCUGGCAUGCAUGAGGCACUGGGUUCGAUCCUCAGCACCACA